CGAUAAAAUCCACUUGACUUGACCUUCAGAAUUGAAAUUGAUUGACAGGAGAGCUACAUGGAAAUAUCAGUUCUCGGUAUCGACCUCCGCUAGCGUCUGAUGUAGCGCGCCAUGCUGAGGUUUGGAUUACCGACUCGGCGGACUGAUCUCGCUGUGUGUUGGCUUGCGUGUGGAGUCGUGUGUGUGAGUGUGUGUGUUUGCAUCGGCCCGUGCUUAUUGAUGAUGAAUUCCGGGGCUAAAACGUUGGCAGUGUGUGCGUCUGCUUUAAUCAGCCAUCUGCUCUGUCAGCCCGAGGCUGUGCUAAUAAGCAUUUCUCUCCAAAGCAGUGCAUGUGCUUUGUAUGUGUUUGUAUAUAUACGCGAGAGUACGAGUGUGUGCGUGUGUGAUUUUGUUUACCCGAGUGUACUUGCAGGGCUCGUUUUGUUGAAACGAGGUCGUCUUUUUUGAUUGGAUCUGUUUGGAAGUUCUCCUCACGUCUGCAGGUAAAAAAAAAACCUGGACUGCAUUAAACUUCUCGUGUAGUCUGGAGAUGUGUGUUUACGGAAAUUCACUCGUUUCCUCGAUCUGAGUUUGGGCCUUAUUUCUUCAUCUUUCCAGCGAGCGAGCGAGCGAGCGAACAAGUGAGCGAGUUAACCGGCUUAAGUUUAGUUAUCUAAAUAAUAUGCUUACAGAUUAACAGCUUAUUUUAUUUCUUACGUUAUUUUAUAAAGUCUUACAAACUACCAGGAGGCUAAUUAGCUAUGUAGCUGUUUAUGCUUAGCUACUUCAGUCGCAAUCUUUUACUGUAAUCCUGGCCAGCUAUCUACAUUUAGUAUCUUACCUUCAUGCUAGCUAUUUAUUUAUUUCAUUUAUUCGUGUGUUCAACUUAUCUGGCACUUUAAUCACCCUUUAAAGUUAGAUUUCAUACCGUUAUCUUCAAGCUAGCUCUGUUUAGUACAGGUAUGUUCAAGCUAGCUAUAUUUAGUACCUUAUCUCAUGUCACUAUUUGCUAGUCAUACAUAUAUUUAGCUAAUAAACCCAAUGGAAACCCCUUAUUAUAAAGUUACCUUAUCAUAUUUCGAUAUAAGCUAGUCAUCCUAAUGUUUAGCUAACAUACACCGACAGCAACCCCUCACUAUAAUGCUAGCCAGGUAACACUAUUUAGUACCUUAUUUUAACCUAGCUGUAUUUAGUACUGUUAUCUAUAUCUAGCUAUAUUUCAUUUCUUAUAAUCAAGCUAGCAAUAUUUAGUAUCUCACGUUCCAUCUAGCUAUAAUUAGUACCUUAGCUAGUCAUCCUUAUGUUUAGCUAACAUACACCAACAGCAGCCCCUCAUUAUAAAGUCAGUCAGGUAACUAUAUUUAUUCACUCAUUUUAAGCUAGCUAUAUUUAGUACGGCUAUUUUAAGCUAGCCAUAUGUAGUACUGUUAUCUUCAGUCUAGCUGUAUGUAGUCUCUUAUCAACAAACUAGCAAUAUUUAGUAUCUUACGUUCAAUCUAGCUAUAUUCAGUACCUUAUCUCGUCGCUAUUUGCGACUAGCCUCGGAAACCGCACGCUAUCAUGUCAGUUUAGUUACGCCGCUGUUUGCUAGACAGCAAACGUGAGCUAGCUAACUACUGUGGCCAACAGUUCAGCUAGCAAGGCUCUUAUACAGACAGAGUAAAGGCAAAGUGAUAGUGAAAAUUACACCGUGAUUUUAUACUUUACACUAACGGUUUGUCAUCAUCUUGUGGAAACUUGUCGAAACACUCAGUAAGAGUGCAUUUCCAUGGAAUGUAGCAGGUGUGUGUAGGACACGUUAUUAUUUAUUUUUUUGCUGAUGAUAUCAUAUCGCUCCUUUCAAAAUGUUCACUGGAGCAGAAAAUGCUAGGAACAAACAAAAGAACAGCACUUAGAUGGAAACUUCUUUCUCUCUCUCUGUCUGUCUCUCUCUCUCUGAAACGACUGAAAUCCACAGAACUUUUCAUUUUCAUCUCACUGAGAUGUCACGUGCCAGAUCCUCCGUGUUUCUUUUCGAAAUAAAACACACUAAUCACCGCCGAGAUUAGCUGUAUAGUUACAACCCACUAGUUAAUGUAAUGUAGGGCUAGCUGGAGACAUUUAUGUUAGCUAGCUAACUAGCUUUUAGGGUUUUUUGUUUUGUUUUUAUACACAGCUAGGUGGCGCUGCACACAGGCUCGAUCGCAAGGGAACAACUUUUGAUACCUCGAUUUUUUGCGCAUAAAUUUGUAUAUAAAUUGCUUUGGCUAACCUUUCCAGUGUGCUAGCUAGCUUGUUAAGGUUUGCUAGAAAUGGUAGGUGAUGCAGAAGCAAAACUUUAUGGUUGUACCGUGGCUAAUCUUUCUCAGCGAUUUCUCAGCGUUUAAGGAUGCGAGAAUUUCUUUGUUUUACUUUAUUUAUGGUCAAACUUUUUUUUUUUUUUAAAUGGUUAUACAGUAUACGUAGCAUACGGACGAGCGCUAGCUGUGCUGUGCUGAGUAUCGUUCGUGGUAACUAGCUAGCUAACUCAGUUACCUCAGUCUACGUGACGUCGCUCCACAUAGACAUAUUUAUAUUUUCCUGAAAUAAGGAAUUAACAAGUUUUUAUUGUGAACGGAGCUGUCCGUGUUAUACGAAUGCUAGCUGUGCUUGGCGUCACUGAAAUGCUAAGAGGAAUACGGGAAGAGGAGAGAGGCAGGGAGGGGGUGCAGCAAGCUCUGUACUCUGUGUUCUAUAAAUAAAUAAAUUGUAAAAACAAUAAAAAAUUCCCACGAAGCGGUCGUAACAUCCCGUAACAGACUGGGCCAAUUUUGUGGACGAAGGUUGCCAGAUAGUGAAAUAUACUUCAGCCGGCGGUUCACGAACGCCUCUGGAGGCCGAGGUUGUUCAACUUUAUUGUUCUUCCCUCGACUCAUUUCUCAGAGGUCGAAAAGAGUGUGUAGUCAUGUAGUGGGAGCAAACCGCUCGGACUUUCCACGAGCGUGUGUGUGUGUGUGUGUGUGUGUGUGUGUGGCAAGAGGAGGGACUUAUCUGUUUUUCCCCCUGAGUCCAUGGUUUGUUUGUUUUAAUGGCCGCCUUUUUUGGUAUUGUGCCCUUUUAAAGAACGGCUUCCCGUGUGGCUACGCGGCUAACGGGAGGAAAGGAUGGAAACACACACACACACACACACACACACACACACACACACACAGAGCCAAAAACACACACCCUAAAAGUGCACGUCCUUCAGGGCACUCGAAGGAGGAAGAAAGUAAGAAAGGGGGAUGGUGGUGUGUGUGUGUGUGUGUGUGGGGGGUGUUGGUUUGGGAUGGGGGGCACUUCUUUCGAGAAUACACUAAUGCACCUUAUCCUGUCCAUAAAACAACCCCCCGCCCCACCACAAAACCCCACCCACAGUUAUGGACCACGAGUGGGUGGAGUUUAAUUCUGUCCUCAGGCGUUUCCUGUUGCUUUAGCUGAUGUUCUAGAUGCAGGAACAGCAGGCAGACCCACUGGCAGGACUGUUACAUGUGUGUGUGUGUGUGUGUGUGUGUGUGUGUACCCCUUCCCCACCCGUGACCUUUGACCUGUACACCUCCAGCUGAGUCACUCACACACUACCACAGUAGGUCUUUCAGAAAGAAGGAAAAAUAGAGAGAAAAGUGUUGACAUGACUUUCUAAUGUGUGUGUGUGUGUGUGUGUGUGUGUGUGUGUGUGUGUGUGUGUGUGUGUGUGUGUGUGGAAGCUGCCAGAGGGGAGUAAAGGGAAAAGUGUCAGAAAAACAGUGUGUGACUGGGAGAGAAAGAAAGGAGGGAGCAAAAAAAUUGUCAGAAACGGGGACACACAGUGGAAAACAAACCCGAAAAGGUAGAGAGACGUAGAGGAAGAGAGAAAACGAGUGAGUCAGGGGAGAGGGCAUGAAAUGGAGAGAGAGAUGAAAAGAGAUGGAAGGACAGGAAAAGAAAAGAAGGGGACAGACAAGGAAAGAGAGGGAGAGGACAGACGUGAUGAGAAAAACAGAUGGAGGCGUUGAAAGGAAGACAGAACGAGGGAGUGAGAAAGAAAGGGACGAAAAGGGACUGAAAAAAGGAGAGGUGGCGUGUUGAAAAGCGAGACAGAGAAAUAGAUGGGGAGAUAAAGAUAAAUCGGAUGAGAGACAGAGAGAGAGUAGAGGGACAGCAGGAGAAAGGAAAGUGGGAAGAAACAUGAGAGAGAGGGAUGAGAGAGAGAGAGAAGGAGAAACAGAAAGACGUGAUUAAAAAAGCCUAGAUAGAGAAGGACAAAGAGAAACAGACAGCAAGAGAGGGAAAGGAAGGAGGGAAGAAUACGAGAAAGAGUUAGAGUGAGAGAGGUACUGAGAGGGAGAGAGAGAGAGAGGGAAAGGAAAGAGGGAAGAAUACGAGAAAGAGUCAGAGUGAGAGAGGUACACAGAGGGAGAGAGAGAGAGAGAGAGGGGGAAAGGAAAGAGGGAAGAAUACGAGAAAGAGUCAGAGUGAGAGAGGUACACAGAGGGAGAGAGAGAGAGAGAGGGAAAGGAAAGAGGGAAGAAUAUGAGAAACAGUCAGAGUGAGAGAGGUACAGAGAGAGAGAGAGAGGGAAGAGGAAGAAUACGAGAAAGAGUCAGAGUGAGAGAGGUACAGAGAG
ensembl:lncRNA